rnacentral:rRNA from 1 species
CGGAGGGCGUAGCGUUGUUCGGAAUUACUGGGCGUAAAGCGCACGUAGGCGGACCAGAAGUUAGGGUGGAAAUACCCGGGCCGUCAACCUCGGAACUGCCUUCAAACUACUGGUCUGGAGUUCGAGAGAGGUGAGUGGAAUUCCGAGUGUAGAGGUGAAUUCGUAGAUAUUCGGAGGAACACCAGUGGCGAAGGCGGCUCACUGGCUCGAUACUGACGCUGAGGUGCGAAAGCGUGGGGAGCGAAACAGGAUU